UUCCUUUGAGUUUCAGCCUUGCGACCAUACUCCCCAGGCGGAACACUUAACGCUUUCGCUACGGCCGAGAGGAUGUGGAAGUCCCCUCAACCCAGUGUUCAUCGUUUACGGCUAGGACUACCGGGGUAUCUAAUCCCGUUCGCUACCCUAGCUUUCGUGCCUAAUCACUAGUGAAUUCGCGGCCGCCUGCAGGUCGACCAUAUGGGAGAGCUCCCAACGCGUUGGAUGCAUAGCUUGAGUAUUCUAUAGUGUCACCUAAAUAGCUUGGCGUAAUCAUGGUCAU
rnacentral:rRNA from 1 species